rnacentral:rRNA from 1 species
UACGUAGGCAGCAAGCGUUGUUCGGAGUUACUGGGCGUAAAGGGUGUGUAGGCGGCUUUUUAAGUUUGGUGUGAAAUCUCCCGGCUCAACUGGGAGGGUGCGCCGAAUACUGAGAGGCUAGAGUGUGGGAGAGGAAAGUGGAAUUCCUGGUGUAGCGGUGAAAUGCGUAGAUAUCAGGAGGAACACCUGUGGUGUAGACAGCUUACUGGACCACUUCUGACGCUGAGACACGAAAGCGUGGGUAGCAAACAGG